UACUCCUUUUUUCUUUUCAUGUUGGUCGAACGAUACUUAGAGAGGGUUAUAAGGCUCUACUGCAUUGAACUUAUAAAGAUGUAGUAAUACUGAACGUAUGAAAGACGCAACUGUAAUAAUUAUAUAGGUUCUUUUAACAAAUCCAAGGUGACCUUGGUAUAUUUUCAAAAAAUUGGCGUGGAGGAAUCGUCACUUCCGUUAAGUAGCUACAUACGUGAACGUUCUUUUUUGCCGCACGCAUGCUCAUCGCUUAUUAUUGAUAUCGCGAACAUCGUGCGACGGCGUUACCGCAUAUCGGUCACGGCCACCAGCGAAACUGUUAAUUAUCUAUUAGAUACGAACGAAGUUUACGAAUAUCGAUACUUAAGCGACAUCGUAAUUUUAAAUGAAUUAAGAGUUUUAGUAUACAGGAAAUAAGCGAACAAGUCAUUUACACGUCGAUAAAGAAAACCCGUGUUAUAUUUUAUCGCACCGUGACUAGAUUAGAAUUUAAUAGAAAGCCGCACUUGCAACCAUAUUACAACUUCAUUAUGAUAAUCAAUAUUAAAUAGUAAUUACACUAUGCAACAGUUGAACAGAUAUAGCAAAAAUAUUGUGUUAUUAAGAUAUUACUUCAUUUUCUUCAAUAGACUAGGAAAAUGAUAUGGUGUAGAAAUGUUUCGAAUUAUGUAUAAACAACAUCUGUACUUACCUUUAAUUAAUUUGUUCUUAUCAUAAUAGUAUAAAUUAUAUUAUACAUUUUGAAUA